rnacentral:misc_RNA from 1 species
GAUGAAGAACGUAGCGAAAUGCGAUACGUAAUGUGAAUUGCAAAUUCAGUGAAUCAUCGAGUCUUUGAACGCACAUUGCGCCCAUUAGUAUUCUAGUGGGCAUGCCUGUUCGAGCGUCAUUAAGUCCACUUAAGCCCUGCUUAGUGUUGGGAGACUGCUCCAGCGGUGCUACCCUGUAGCUACCCUGCAGCUCCUCAAAGACAGCGGCGGAGUUGUGGUAUCCUCUGAGCUUAGUAACUUGUUCUAGCUUUCGAGUACACCACUUCCCCUGCCGUAAAACCCUUAAUUUUUAAUGGUUGACCUCGGAUCAGGUAGGAAUACCCGCUGAACUUAAGCAUAUCAAUAAGCGGAGGA